rnacentral:rRNA from 1 species
AUUGAACGCUGGCGGCAUGCCUUACACAUGCAAGUCGAACGGCAGCGCGGAUUUCGGUCUGGCGGCGAGUGGCGAACGGGUGAGUAAUACAUCGGAACGUACCCUGUUGUGGGGGAUAACUAGUCGAAAGAUUAGCUAAUACCGCAUACGACCUGAGGGUGAAAGUGGGGGACCGCAGGGCCUCACGCAGCAGGAGCGGCCGAUGUCUGAUUAGCUAGUUGGUGGGGUAAAGGCCCACCAAGGCGACGAUCAGUAGCUGGUCUGAGAGGACGAUCAGCCACACUGGGACUGAGACACGGCCCAGACUCCUACGGGAGGCAGCAGUGGGGAAUUUUGGACAAUGGGGGCAACCCUGAUCCAGCAAUGCCGCGUGUGUGAAGAAGGCCUUCGGGUUGUAAAGCACUUUUGUCCGGAAAGAAAUCGCGCUGGUUAAUACCUGGCGUGGAUGACGGUACCGGAAGAAUAAGCACUGGCUAACUACGUGCCAGCCGCCGCGGUAA